rnacentral:rRNA from 1 species
CCUACGGUGAGCAGCAGUGGGGAAUAUUGCACAAUGGGGGGAACCCUGAUGCAGCGACGCCGCGUGGGUGAAGGAGUAUUUCGGUAUGUAAAGCCCUAUCAGCAGGGAAGAACAAUGACGGUACCUUACUAAGAAGCACCGGCUAAAUACGUGCCAGCAGCCGCGGUAAUACGUAUGGUGCAAGAGUUAUCCGGAUGUACUGGGUGUAAAGGGAGCGCAGGCGGCGCGUUAAGCCUGGUGUGAAAGCCCUCGGCACAACCGCGGGACUGCAUUGGGAACUGGCGCGCUGGAGUGCCGGAGGGGUAGGCGGAAUUCCUAGUGUAGCGGUGAAAUGCGGAGAGAGUAGGAGGAACACCAGUGGCGAAGGCGGCCUACUGGACGGUGACUGACGCUGAGGCUCGAAAGCGUGGGGAGCAAACAGGAGUAGAUACCCCGGUAGUC